rnacentral:rRNA from 1 species
UAGGGAAUCUUCGGCAAUGGGGGGAACCCUGACCGAGCAACGCCGCGUGAGUGAAGAAGGUUUUCGGAUCGUAAAGCUCUGUUGUUAAGGAAGAACGAGUGUGAGAAUGGAAAGUUCAUGCUGUGACGGUACUUAACCAGAAAGGGACGGCUAACUACGUGCCAGCAGCCGCGGUAAUACGUAGGUCCCGAGCGUUGUCCGGAUUUAUUGGGCGUAAAGCGAGCGCAGGCGGUUAGAAAAGUCUGAAGUGAAAGGCAGUGGCUCAACCAUUGUAGGCUUUGGAAACUGUUUAACUUGAGUGCAGAAGGGGAGGGUGGAAUUCCAUGUGUAGCGGUGAAAUGCGUAGAUAUAUGGAGGAACACCGGUGGCGAAGGCGGCUCUCUGGUCUGUAACUGACGCUGAGGCUCGAAAGCGUGGGGAGCGAACAGG